rnacentral:miRNA from 1 species
AUCUUCCAGUACAGUGGUGGA